GGCCCGCUGGCCUAAUGGCUAAGGCGUUGGUUUUCGGUCUGCAGAGAUCACCAAAGAUUGUGCGUUCGAGUCGCACGUGGGUCG